rnacentral:rRNA from 1 species
GACGAACGCUGGCGGCGUGCUUAACACAUGCAAGUCGAGCGGAAAGGCCCUGCUUGCAGGGUACUCGAGUUGCGAACGGGUGGGUAACACGUGGGUGAUCUGCCCUCCACUUCGGCAUAAGCCUGUGAAACUGGGUCUAAUACCUGACAGGAGCCAUUUUGAGCGUGAUGGUUGGAAAGUUUUUUCGGUGUUGGAUGAGCUCGCGGCCUAUCAGCUUGUUGGGGGGGUAAUGGCAUACCAAAGCGGCGACGGGUAGCCGGCCUGAGAGGGUGGACGGCGACCUUGGGACUGAGGGACGGACCAGAAUCGUACGGGAGGCAGCAGGGGGGAACAUUGCACAGUGGGGGCAAGCGUGAUGCGGCGACGCCGCGUGGGGGAUGACGGCUUACGGGUUGUAAACUCAUUUCGCUAGGGACGAAGCUUUUGUGACGGUACCUAGAUAGGAAGCACCGGCUAACUACGUG